AAGAUUUUAGUUUAUAGAAAAUAAUUUAUUUACAAUAAAUAGAAUAAUGAAAAAUCAUUCAUUGAAAUUUUA
rnacentral:tRNA from 1 species